UACGGGGGGGGCAAGCGUUGUUCGGAAUUACUGGGCGUAAAGGGCUCGUAGGUGGCCAACUAAGUCAUACGUGAAAUCCCUCGGCUUAACCGGGGAACUGCGUCUGAUACUGGAUGGCUUGAGGUUGGGAGAGGGAUGCGGAAUUCCAGGUGUAGCGGUGAAAUGCGUAGAUAUCUGGAGGAACACCGGUGGCGAAGGCGGCAUCCUGGACCAAUUCUGACACUGAGGAGCGAAAGCCAGGGGAGCAAACGGG
rnacentral:rRNA from 1 species